rnacentral:rRNA from 1 species
AGUGAACGCUGGCGGUAGGCCUAACACAUGCAAGUCGAGCGAGUGGCGGACGGGUGAGGAAUACAUGGGAAUCUCCUCUGGCGUGGGGGAGAACGUAGGGAAACUAGCGCUAAUACCGCACACGAUGGAAUGAGCCGAUGUGGGAUUAGCUAGUUGGCGGGGUAAAGGCCCACCAAGGAGACGAUCCGUCGCUGGUCUGAGUGGAAGAUCAGCCACACUGGAACUGAGACACGGUACAGACUCCUACGGGAGGCAGCAGUGGGGAAUAUUGGACAAUGGGCGCAAGCCUGAUCCAGCCAUGCCGCGUGGGUGAAGAAGGCCUUCGGGUUGUAAAGUACUUUCAGCGGGGAGGCGUUACCCGCAGAAGAAGCACCGGCUAACUCCGUGCCAGCAGCCGCGGUAAUUC